AAUGUGAUAUUGGGGAUGUGGGCAAUCUUGUAGCGAUCUUCUCCUCCUUCUCGGCAGCGUUCUUCUAAGACUGGACACAAGAAGAUAUUCAGUUGUUGAAGCAUGGUGAGGUGUUGCAACUCCUCUGGUAGAGACCUUAAAUUAUAACAAAAGUUGUUCUGCAGAGUUUGGAGGGCUUUGAGUUGUCCCAACCAACCACAUGGGAACGAUGUCAGCUC